AUUUUCAUGAUGAUUUUUUUACCGCCCCAGUCUGAAAUUCAUGACUGAUUGGUUGUUCUGAUUUUUC
rnacentral:snoRNA from 1 species